rnacentral:rRNA from 1 species
GAUGAACGCUGGCGGCGUGCCUAAUACAUGCAAGUCGAGCGAAUGGAUUAAGAGCUUGCUCUUAUGAAGUUAGCGGCGGACGGGUGAGUAACACGUGGGUAACCUGCCCAUAAGACUAGGAUAACUCCGGGAAACCGGGGCUAAUACCGGAUAACAUUUUGAACCGCAUGGUUCGAAAUUGAAAGGCGGCUUCGGCUGUCACUUAUGGAUGGACCCGGGUCGCAUUAGCUAGUUGGUGAGGUAACGGCUCACCAAGGCAACGAUGCGUAGCCGACCUGGGAGGGUGAUCGGCCACACUGGGACUGAGACACGGCCCAGACUCCUACGGGAGGCAGCAGUAGGGAAUCUUCCGCAAUGGACGAAAGUCUGACGGAGCAACGCCGCGUGAGUGAUGAAGGCUUUCGGGUCGUAAAACUCUGUUGUUAGGGAAGAACAAGUGCUAGUUGAAUAAGCUGACACCUUGACGGUACCUAACCAGAAAGCCACGGCUAACUACGUGCCAGCCGCCGCCGUAA